rnacentral:rRNA from 1 species
CCGCGGUAUCUUGACCGUGCUAAGGUAGCGAAAUCACUUGUCUUUUAAAUGAGGACCUGUAUGAAUGGUGGAACGAGGGCUUAACUGUCUCCUUUUUCAAGUCAGUGAAAUUGAUCUGCCCGUGCAGAAGCGGACAUAAAUAUACAAGACGAGAAGACCCUUUGGAGCUUAAGACAUACAGUCAACUGUGUUAAAAGUUCUACUCAAAAAAAUUAAACUAAACAAUAACUGACUUUGCGUCUUCGGUUGGGGCGACCGCGGGGGAAAACAAAGCCCCCACGUAGAAUGGGACAACUCCCUAAAACCAAGAGAAACAUCUCUAAGUCACAGAACCUCUGACUAAAAGAUCCGGCACACGCCGAUCAACGAACCAAGUUACCCUAGGGAUAACAGCGCAAUCCCCUCCAAGAGCCCGUAUCAACAAGGGGGUUUACGACCUCGAUGUUGGAUCAGGACAUCCUAAUGGU